GUUUCUGUAGGUGUGCGUUAUCACGUUCGCCUAACACGCGAAAGGCUCCGGGUUCAAAACCGGUCAGAAACA